CAAUCGUGUCUCAGUCUUCCUUUUGUUAGAGACUUUUUAGUUUUCUCCCUCAGGCACCCAGCCAAAGACAGCACCGCGGGUAACGGAGCUGGCCAGUCCUGCCCAACAUGACAACCUCUGCAGUUGUUUCCCGAGGCCGCUGGAACAAAUUGCACAAGCUGGUGAUUUAAAAUAACUUGAAUGUAUUCUCUCACAAAUCUGGAGGCCAGAGUACAAAAUCAAGAAACAAUUUUCUUCACCGUUGACUGUCUUGGUGGUUUCAACUCUUCCUUUGAUCCCUGGAGACAGCAUUGAAGGUGUGGCUCAAAGACCAUCCAGCCGGCAAGAGACCAUGAAGCUCAAGCCCCACAUCACAGAUGUUUUCUGUGUUGCUGCAUCUGGUGCUCUGCGCCUUUCUCAGUAACAUAAAGAGCCAGGAGUGUUUCCCUUAUCAAAAACCUUGGUUCUAUGAAAUAAAUAGGGGACUUGGGGG